UAUCAUUCUGUCUUUGUAUGUAUUUUGGCAACUGGAAUAUAACUGCAGCCAUAAAGUUCUCAAUCUAAUUUUGUCAUUGCACAUGUGAAUGGCUGGUAACCACAAGGAGAAAGUUAUUAACUGACAAAUUUUCAAAAAUAUUUUAGUGGGCUUACAAAGAUUUUCUAAACAUCAUGCCAAGCUUGAAGGCACCAACAGAAGUUAUCAUUGGUGUGAGAGUGUCAGUUGUCAAUCUUGAGAUAAAAUAAAACUGACAACUGCUGGUAAUUUGUAAAAAAUCUGUCUUUGUUUAAUUUAUAGACAAAGCAGGCAAAAGACUAAGAAUAUUACAUUUUCUACCGAGCGCAGAGAAGACCUUAUCACAGAGGCUUUAUUCUACAAAGACUUUGCUGGUCAUAAAAGUGGAAGUGAAUUCGUGUCACCAGG
rnacentral:lncRNA from 1 species